CCAACAAUCUGCGUUACUUUUUCUUUUGUGAAACCAGGCGUCACCCUCGACGGAUCUGUUUCUCUGCAAUUAGUUUGGCAGAGUAACGCAUAGUGAUGUCAAACAAAAAAAAACAAAUGAAGUUAAUAAGGAAACAAUCUUGGAUUUAAAGAAUCAAACCCCCCCCCCCCACCCCCAUUCUUCGAUUUGAUUUCCAGAGACAAUAGAAAAGAACAGAAAUGAGCGAUGGAGAGAACUCGGUGAUGGAAAUCGAAGAGGCUAAAAAAACUGAUACAAGAACAGAGUCGACAUCCAUAGAAGAAACAGAGGGACACGCUACGGAUUUGAGGACGAGGGAAUCUUAUGGAAGGACUGAUCGGAGACGAGAAAGAGAUCCAAGAUCCUCGGGAGAAAAGAUGGUAAAGGAGAAUGCAACUCAGACGAGUGAAUAUCCAGCUCGCACCGGUGUAGGAGAUAGUUACUAUUACCUAAAAAACGGUCGUUGUGGCUUUAGACUAAGUUGCAGAUUCAACCAUCCACCGGUGAGUGGAAACACAAAGAAAGAUUACUUUACUGUGUCUUAUUAGUUUCAAGAUAUCCUCUGUUGUCUAUUUUCUUUAGUACAUCGAAAUCAGAUGAGAUAUGGCAUGGUGCAACCGAGUCCCUAUCCAGUUUCUCCACAUCUUCCUGAGAGUAGUCAGAUGAGACAUGAAAUGGUGCAACCGAGUCCCUAUCCAGGUGCAAGAGAUUGUAGACAAUAUCUACAAACUCGGCGGUGUAGCUAUGGACCUAAGUGCCGAUUCAACCAUCCUCAUGCACCGGUCUGAAGGUUGGUCAUUGCAAUAAGAGACCGUCGUAACACGUAUUCUUAGGUUUUGGGAAGCUACAAAUGUGAAAAGGGUGGAGAGCUCAUGGGUGUAGAUCGGGUUUCCUCGAUGAAAAGAUGAGUAUCAGGCGUGUAAUAGUUGCAAUCCAACUUCACGGGUACGGUAGCCAAAUUCUUUGGUUUCAAAGUUUUAAGUUUGUAUUUCUGGAUCACCUUCAUAAAAAAUUAGAACAGUUGCUAAUAUCAAGAGUCAUCACCCAGACUAGAGCUGAGAACAACUCAAACAACGUCUGGCCUCAAACACAGUGCAGCCUUUUGUUUGAGAUGAUGAACAAAAAGAAAAGAGAAGAGAAUUAACAGCGGACAACCCUUCCACAAAGAGUAAUUACAC